rnacentral:rRNA from 1 species
AUUGAACGCUAGCGGGAGGCCUAACACAUGCAAGCCGAGCGGUAUUUGUCUUUCGGGACAGAGAGAGCGGCGUACGGGUGCGGAACACGUGUGCAACCUGCCUUUAUCAGGGGGAUAGCCUUUCGAAAGGAAGAUUAAUACCCCAUAAUAUAUUGAAUGGCAUCAUUGGAUAUUGAAAACUCCGGUGGAUAGAGAUGGGCACGCGCAAGAUUAGAUAGUUGGUAGGGUAACGGCCUACCAAGUCAGUGAUCUUUAGGGGGCCUGAGAGGGUGAUCCCCCACACUGGUACUGAGACACGGACCAGACUCCUACGGGAGGCAGCAGUGAGGAAUAUUGGACAAUGGGUGAGAGCCUGAUCCAGCCAUCCCGCGUGAAGGACGACGGCCCUAUGGGUUGUAAACUUCUUUUGUAUAGGGAUAAACCUAGAUACGUGUAUCUAGCUGAAGGUACUAUACGAAUAGGCACCGGCUAACUCCGUGCCAGCAGCCGCCGUAA